GCGCCUGUAGCUCAGAUGGAUAGAGCAAUUGCUUCCGGUGCAAUGGGUCGUGGGUUCGAAUCCUAUCAGGUGCGCCA
rnacentral:tRNA from 1 species